GUGCCAGCAGCCGCGGUAAUACGAAUCGUCCAAACGUUGUUCGGAUUUACUGGGUUUAAAGGGCGCGUAGGCGGUGCGCUAAGUCGGUGGUGAAAUACUUCGGCUCAACCGGAGAAUUGCCGCUGAAACUGGCGUGCUCGAGGGAGGUAGAGGUGCGUGGAACUUCCGGUGGAGCGGUGAAAUGCGUUGAUAUCGGAAGGAACACCUGUGGCGAAAGCGAUGCACUGGACCUCUUCUGACGCUGAGGCGCGAAAGCCAGGGGAGCGAACGGGAUUAGAUACCCUCGUAGUCC
rnacentral:rRNA from 1 species